rnacentral:rRNA from 1 species
GAUGAACGCUGGCGGCGUGCCUAAUGCAUGCAAGUCGAGCGAACGGACGAGAAGCUUGCUUCUCUGAUGUUAGCGGCGGACGGGUGAGUAACACGUGGAUAACCUACCUAUAAGACUGGGAUAACUUCGGGAAACCGGAGCUAAUACCGGAUAAUAUUUUGAACCGCAUGGUUCAAAAGUGAAAGACGGUCUUGCUGUCACUUAUAGAUGGAUCCGCGCUGCAUUAGCUAGUUAGUAAGGUAACGGCUUACCAAGGCGACGAUGCGUAGCCGACCUGAGAGGGUGAUCGGCCACACUGGAACUGAGACACGGUCCAGACUCCUACGGGAGGCAGCAGUAGGGAAUCUUCCGCAAUGGGCGAAAGCCUGACGGAGCAACGCCGCGUGAGUGAUGAAGGUCUUCGGAUCGUAAAACUCUGUUAUUAGGGAAGAACAAAUGUGUAAGUAACUAUGCACGUCUUGACGGUACCUAAUCAGAAAGCCACGGCUAACUACGU